UCCUACGGGAGGCAGCAGUGGGGAAUAUUGGACAAUGGGCGCAAGCCUGAUCCAGCCAUGCCGCGUGAGUGAUGAAGGCCUUAGGGUUGUAAAGCUCUUUUAUCCGGGACGAUAAUGACGGUACCGGAGGAAUAAGCCCCGGCUAACUUCGUGCCAGCAGCCGCGGUAAUA
rnacentral:rRNA from 1 species